GGAUGCACGGUACCCGCAGAUAAGCCGCAGCUGGCGGGCAAACUGGCCGAAUGUUGCCACCUUCUUCGUGUACCCGGAGGCGAUCCGCAAGGUUAUCUACACCACUAACGUAAUCGAAUCGCUGAAUAGCGUCAUCAGACAUGCGAUAAAGAAACGGAAAGUGUUCCGACAGAUGAAUCGGUGAAAAAAGUGGUGUGGCUGGCUAUCCAGUCAGCCUCACAGAAAUGGACGAUGCCACUUCAGGGCUGGCGGAUAGCCAUGAGUCGGUUUAUUAUCGAAUUCGGUGACCGCCUUGACGGUCACUUCUGAGAAAGGC
rnacentral:rRNA from 1 species